GACGAACGCUGGCGGCGUGCCUAACACAUGCAAGUCGAGCGGGGUAGCCGGAAGGUGUAGCGAUACAGCGGAGGGGUACCUAGCGGCGAACGGGUGAGUAACGCGUGGGCAAUCUGCCCCCGGGGGCGGGAUAACAGACCGAAAGGCCUGCUAAUACCGCAUGAAGCCGUCCUAUCGCAUGAUAAGACGGUAAAAGGGGAAACCCGCCUGGGGAGGAGCCCGCGUCCCAUUAGCUAGUUGGUGGUGUAAAGGACCACCAAGGCGAUGAUGGGUAGCCGGCCUGAGAGGGUGAACGGCCACAUUGGGACUGAGACACGGCCCAGACUCCUACGGGGGGCAGCAGUGAGGGAUUUUCGGCAAUGGGCGAAAGCCUGACCGAGCGACGCCGCGUGAGCGAAGAAGGCCUUGGGUCGUAAAGCUCUGUCUAGGGGAAGAGGAAGGACGGUACCUCUGGAGGAAGCCGACGGCUAACUACGUG
rnacentral:rRNA from 1 species